rnacentral:rRNA from 1 species
UACGAAGGGGGCUAGCGUUGUUCGGAAUCACUGGGCGUAAAGCGCACGCAGGCGGGUCGUUAAGUCGGGGGUGAAAUCCCGAGGCUCAACCUCGGAACUGCCUUCGAUACUGGCGAUCUUCGAGUCCGGGAGAGGUGAGUGGAACUCCGAGUGUAGAGGUGAAAUUCGUAGAUAUUCGGAAGAACACCAGUGGCGAAGGCGGCUCACUGGCCCGGUACUGACGCUCAUGUGCGAAAGCGUGGGGAGCAAACAGG